GGAGACGUGCGAGAGCGGCCGAAUCGGCGCGACUGGAAAUCGCGUGGCCCCGCAAGGGGUCCAAGGGUUCAAAUCCCUUCGUCUCCG
rnacentral:tRNA from 2 species